GGAGGAUCCGAGCGUUAUCCGGAUUUAUUGGGUUUAAAGGGAGCGUAGGCCGGAGAUUAAGCGUGUUGUGAAAUGUAGACGCUCAACGUCUGCACUGCAGCGCGAACUGGUUUCCUUGAGUACGCACAAAGUGGGCGGAAUUCGUGGUGUAGCGGUGAAAUGCUUAGAUAUCACGAAGAACUCCGAUUGCGAAGGCAGCCUGCUAAGCCGCCACUGACGUUGAGGCUCGAAAGUGCGGGUAUCAAACAGGAUUAGAUACCCUGGUAGUCCGCACGGUAAACGAUGGAUACUCGCUGUUGGCGAUAGACAGUCAGCGGCCAAGCGAAAGCGUUAAGUAUCCCACCUGGGGAGU
rnacentral:rRNA from 1 species